CUUUUUCAUGCUACUGGACAAAGGCAAUUCUUCCUGCUCAUAAAACCAAACCCGUUAUUACACUAAAUGGACUCUCAUCUACCAUUUCCUUUUGUGAAGCACACACUGGCCUGUAUGAAGGUUCUGGAAAGAUGCUGAGCUGCAGAUUUGAAGCACUGGGGGAGGUGAGUGCGACACUCUCACACCUCCGUGAAGUCACACGUGGACAACUCCCAGUGACAUCACCGAACGCAGCUCACAGAGCAGCCUUGUGGCCCGCUGACCGCAGCGGGAGAUGGCUCCUGACAGCUCGAUUGCAUGUGUGCACUUGGCCAAGGGAGUGUGAGCUGCCUGCCCCGAGCUGGCCCUGCCAGGAGCAUCAGGGUGAGCCCCCGCCCCGCCGCCCUCGGGGGAGCAGCACAGCGGCCGGGGGUCGGAAAGCCUGGUGUCCAGCCUUGGCUCUGCUGUGUUCUGGCUGUGUGCCUUUGGCUGGGUGGUUUCCCUAUUCUGAGCCUCGCUUUUCCCAUCUGUAAAGCGGGAGGGCGGAAGACUGAGCCGAUGAGCUCUCAGGGUCCGUACAGCGCGGACCUCCUCCAGAUCCAACACUGAGCGGAGGAGGGAGAAGACCAGCCUGGCAAGGCCAACUUUCCAAUCUGACUCAAGUCUGCUGUGGUGAGUUCCGAAUGGGCUUCAUCGCACUUGCCUCCCCCCCACCCUCACCCCUUAAGGCCAAGAGUGAGGGUGGGCCCAGAAGGCUGAGGGGCCACGAGGUUCAAGAUGGUGGCGCCAGGGGAAGGCUGCUUGAGGACCCUCAGCCGUCUUGCAGCAGGGGUCUGCUGGUCCCUCCUGGCGGUGGACCAACCACACAGCGCUGAAGUUGUCUGCACAGCCAACUGGAAGGAACCUUCCUCUCUGUGGGGAGGAGCCGGUCCGCUGCCGUGUCCUCAGCACCAGGCAUCCUUACUACAGCGUGGUUUGGACUGGUCUGAGCUGGUUCAAGCCAGUGGGCAGCUGCUCAUUCUCCUGAAAAACAACUUUGGGGAACUAUUGGACGCUGAUGGACCCGUGAAGCAGCUCUUUAAGCUGCUAAGCAACAAGCAACUCUUUAAGCCUAAGUAACUCCUUAAGCAACUAGAGGCAGGUGGCUGGUGACAAAAUUUCUCUGUAUUUUCCAAAUUUUCUGGAACAAGCAAGUUUUAACUUUUAUAAUCGUAAAUAAUAAAUGUGUUUUUUUAAAA
rnacentral:lncRNA from 1 species